GACGAACGCUGGCGGCGUGCUUAACACAUGCAAGUCGAACGGAAAGGCCCCUUUGGGGGUACUCGAGUGGAGCACGGGUGAGUAACACGUGAGUAACCUGCCCUUGACUUCGGGAUAACUUCAGGAAACUGGGGCUAAUACCUGAUAGGAAUCCUUGCUGCAUGGUGGGGGUUGGAAAGCUUCGGCGGUUUUGGAUGGACUCGCGGCUUAUCAGCUUGUUGGUGGGGUAGUGGCUUACCAGGGCUUUGACGGGUAGCCGGACUGAGAGAGCGACCGGCCACACAGGGACUGAGAGAAGGCCGAGGUGCGGAAGGGUGGAAGAAGUGGGGAAUAUUGAUCAAGGGGCGGAGGCCGGAUGCAGCAACGCCGCGGGCGGGAUGAUGGCUUUCGGGUUGAAAAACGCUUUCAGCAGAGGAGAAGCUUGUGGUGACGUUACCUGCAGAAGAAGCACCGGCUAACUCCGUG
rnacentral:rRNA from 1 species